rnacentral:rRNA from 1 species
UACGUAGGGAGCAAGCGUUGUCCGGAAUCAUUGGGCGUAAAGCGCGCGCAGGCGGCCUCGUAAGUCCGUUGUGAAAGUCAAAGGCUCAACCUUUGAAAGCCGAUGGAUACUGUGAGGCUAGAGUCCGGAAGAGGCGAGUGGAAUUCCUGGUGUAGCGGUGGAAUGCGCAGAUAUCAGGAGGAACACCGAUAGCGAAGGCAGCUCGCUGGGACGGUACUGACGCUAAGGCGCGAAAGCGUGGGGAGCGAACAGG